UCUAGCGCCACAGCGGUGGCGAGGGGCCGGUGUGCGCAUCAGCACCACGGCCACGGGACGGGACGCACAGCCGCACAGGAGUCGGAGUCUGACCUAUAGGGAGCCGCACGCCCGCACGGCAUCGGCAAAAUUUGGCAUUCAUGGCCGUAAUGGCACGGAGCGCGCUGCUUCGAUCUGUGGCGAGAUGAGGGGGAUGACCGUCUCCUCCCCCAGCGCACAACCUUUUUGCUCUUCUUCCUCUGCCCCUAGCGGCUCAACGCCGCCGCCAAUCAACGACAAGAAUCUGAGUUAGAACAAGAAUGUUCCUGGUGAAUUGCACAGUGCAAAGCCUGCAUACGUGAGAAUUGCACCCAGAUUGUCUUGCUUAACGCAGUUUGUUUCUGCGGCGAUUAUGUAUUUUUGGGUGCUUCCGAGAUUUGAAGAAUUGGGCAACGAAUUGAAUGCUCUUCGUAGAGAGAGGUCAAUCCUGAUCAAAGCUGUGGAGGACUGUCAAAGAGAACAUAUUCAAGCCAAAGGAAAAAAGUGGCCUCCAACCAAAUUUAGUGGCAAAAAAUUUCAUGGGAAAGACCAAAUUUUAUCUCGGUACACUAAGGCGUAGAACUACUUUCCUGGGUGAUGUUUUUCCAAAUGUAAAUUCACUAAGGGCCGUUUGGGGCCACCAUAUAUAAUAAAAUUCAGGUGAGGAACACCUCCCCCCGUGACUAUCAAA